UACAACCAUAUCAUGCUGAAACAUCAGUUCUCAUCCAAUCACUGAAGUUAAGCAACAUUGAGCCUGGUCAGUACCUAUAUGGGUGACUGUUUGGGAAUACCAGGUGCUGUAAG